UUCAUUUUUGGACGAAACUUUGAAGGUUUAUAUAUGCAAGCCGCAGCACAAAAAAUCAUUACUUUCAUUUCCUUUUCAUUAUAGUUCUUUUUCAAUAAUCUGGAAUCGACAAGCUUUAAUAAUUUGGAAUCGACAAGCUUUGUAUAGUCUCCACUGCGCAAAGCAUAUUGAAUCUGAGGUUUUGCCCAAGUAACAAUAUCAGUGCCGUCAAACAUAGUUUUUCUCCCAGAUAUUAGCUCUAGAAGAACCACACCAUAGGAAUAAACAUCUGACUUUUCAGAUACUCUUUGAGAAUGCUCUGGAUCCGCAUAACUGUAUGGAACAAGCAAUCAUAUUAGUGUCUUGAAGCUAAGUUUUUCUUCCAAUUAUUAGCUCUAGAUGAAUCACACCAUAGAAAUAAUCAUAUGACUUUUUAGAGACGUUUUGAGAAGGAUAAUGCUCUACUUCUGCAUAACUGCAUUGAAUAACCAAAUUAAAAAUUUUUAUCUAAAAUAUGAAAAUCUUUGAUGGAGAAGCCUCAAAAAGGGGCUAUUUCUUUCAUUCUUAUUUUAUUAUAAGUAUUCUAAAUCAAACUAUAAUAGUAAUGUAUUCAACCACUUAAAUAGAGAAAGAGAGAGAGAGAAAUCAUCUUACACUGGAGUUCCCUUGUUUGAUGUACUGAUGUGAGUGAGGUUACCAGUUUCCGGAAAAAGAAGAGCAAGUCCAAAAUCUGCUACCUUUGGCUCAUAUUUUUUGUCAAUAAGAAUAUUAUCGGCCUUAAUAUCACGAUGGAUAAUUUUGCGUGUACAAUUGUCAUGUAAAUAUUCCAACCCUUUAGCUGUUCCUAUGGCGAUUUUCAUUCUUCUUUUCCACUCCAAAGUAAUCGCUCCAUGUAAAUGAUGUCUCAAGGAUUUUUUGGGAACGAACUCCAAAACAAGCAAUUUAUCUUUUCCUUCAAUGCAGCAUCCAAACAGCUUAACAAGAUUUUUGUGACUCACUUUGCUAACAACCUCAAUCUCCUUUUCCGAUUCUUCUUUUGACUGCGAUCCUUCUUUUGACUGCGAUCUUUCGGCCGAAAGAAUUUUAAGUUUCUUAAUAGCAACCUUUUUCCCGCCUAGUGUUCCCUCAUAGACUAGACCAAAACCGCCCUCGCCGAGGAGAUUUUCGUUGGAAAACGUAGAAGUUGCUUUUGCUAGUUCAUCGUAGCUAUAUUGCCUCAGCCCAUAUCCUUCUCGUGAGGUAGAUCCUGCAGUUUCAGCGCGGUGAUCUGCCUCGUUGCAUCUGAAACAAUUCAUCACGCAAGCCAGCAAGAUUGCAAGUCAAUACAAUACUAUGAUUAGGAGAGAGAGACAGAGAGAGAGAG
rnacentral:misc_RNA from 1 species